UACGGAGGGUGCGAGCGUUAAUCGGAAUAACUGGGCGUAAAGGGCACGCAGGCGGGCUUUUAAGUGAGAUGUGAAAUCCCCGGGCUUAACCUGGGAAUAGCAUUUCAGACUGGGAGUCUAGAGUACUUUAGGGAUGGGUAGAAUUCCACGUGUAUCGGUGAAAUGCGUAGAGAUGUGGAUUAAUACCGAAGGCGAAGGCAGCCCCUUGGGAAUGUACUGACGCUCAUGUGCGAAAGCGUGGGGAGCAAACAGG
rnacentral:rRNA from 1 species